rnacentral:rRNA from 1 species
GACGAACGCUGGCGGCGUGCUUAACACAUGCAAGUCGAACGAUGAAGAAGAGAAACGCGAACUUCGGUUCAAAUUUCACUUCGGAUUAGUGGCAGACGGGUGAGUAACGCGUGAGCAACCUACCUCUUACAAAGGGAUAGCCUCGGGAAACCGUGAUUAAUACCAUAUGACACAUUCAUAAGGCAUCUUAAGAAUGUUAAAGCUACGGCGGUAAGCGAUGGGCUCGCGUCCCAUUAGCUAGUUGGUGAGGUAACGGCCCACCAAGGCGACGAUGGGUAACCGGCCUGAGAGGGUGAACGGUCACAUUGGAACUGAGACACGGUCCAAACUCCUACGGGAGGCAGCAGUGGGGAAUAUUGCACAAUGGAGGGAACUCUGAUGCAGCGACGCCGCGUGAGCGAUGAAGGAAUUCGUGUCGUAAAGCUCUGUUCUAUGGGAAGAAAAGGACUGUACCAUAGGAGAAAGCCCCGGCUAAAUACGUG